rnacentral:misc_RNA from 1 species
CUGAAGAAAAUGAGCCUCUGCAGGCAAUGAUGAAAGAUCAGUUUGCAAAUUACGUUGUACAGAAGGUGUUGGAAACAUGCAGUGAUCAGCAACGCGAGCUGAUCCUUUCUAGAAUAAAGGUUCACUUGAAUGCUCUGAAGAAAUACACCUAUGGAAAGCACAUUGUUGCUCGUGUUGAGAAACUUGUUGCAGCUGGAGAACGAAGAAUUGCUGCUCAGUCUCCAAAUCUUGCUUAGCUUUUAGGAAAAAAGUUGUACAGCUGACCGAGGCUAGUUUGAGCUACCUCUCUUCCUUUAUUUCCCCCCGUAUCUUGUGCUCUGGCUCUAGAACUCUCUUUGAGAGCAUUAUGGGCUGUGAUUGCAAAUAAAGUUGUUGCUUGUACUAGAGAACUGUAUAUUGUGUAGUUGGACGUUUAUACAUAGGAUCAGGUAUGCUGGGGCUCGGAUGUCUAAUAUUCCUGAUAGUCAUGCAGAGGAAAAUCAAGUCUCUAAACGGUGUAUAAAUGAUAAAAAGGUGAGGUAGUUUUUAUAUCGACGAGACUGUACAAAAAUGUCGCCAUGUGGAAAGUUGAUGUUUUAGGUGAAGCCAGAAUUUUUAUGUAUGGUAUUGACAACGUUCUAUCAUGGCCAAG